ensembl:lncRNA
UAGAAUUAUUUAGGGAUUCAGAUUACCUGAGCUUCUGCUUCUCAAACGCAUUUGCCUCCCAUUGUCUCCUUUCUCCCAAGACCGGAUUCUGCAUGCCCUUAACAUUGAGCCAUUGUUACUAAUGGUUAAUGGAAAUGUAUGGUACAGUUCAAGCAUAUUUAGACCCCAAUGCAUUUAGGAAUCAUUGGUCUAAAAUGCUUUUUCCAGGGUGUCUUCCAAUUGCUCAGGAAAUCUUUGAUGAUUUUGAUUUUUGUAUGCACGUCCCAGGAUGGAGACCCAGAAAACCAUUGGUAGGUCACUGGAUUCUUCUGGAAUGAAUAUAUUUGUGAAGCAGAAAUGCCUGUGGUGCUUCAUUUUGUGGGGAGUCCACUUCUAACAUAAGACAGUGUGGGAUAUGAGAGGCGGGUAGUGGACGUGCAAGGGGCUUAUAAACUUGUGUUGAACUUGGCCAGUGGGAAGCCUUGAGAAAAUCAAUUAUUGGAGAAUGUACAGCUUCCUAAGAUGCAUGAGGCAGAGCACUUGGAGAGGAGUCAUCUGUAUCUCAUACCCACACCAGGGUGUUACUGUGGAGAAGGAGCCUCACUCGGAAAGUAAGAGGUUUACUGAAUCCUUUGACUCUCUUGUUUCAUCGAAGGCUAUAAAAAUGUUUGGAAGACUAGUGCAUUUCACGGUCACAAAGGCACUUUUAAUUGCUUGUGUGAAGUUGGGUCCUGUCUUUCUUCUUUUCCAACAAAGUGACAUUUAUUAGCAUUUCUCUCGUCGUCAUUUGUAAUUGCACGGGUGUUCACCAUCCCCAACUGUUACAAUCGAGUCGUUUGAGAUUCUAGUCACAUUUCUAAGCAGAUGUGCCAAAUUACAGCUCAAGACUUCUGCUUGACAUCUAGAGUUCCAAUUAGUCAAAUAUCCAGGGCGAGGGUUAGCCAGGAAAGACCGGAGAAAACACUUCACCCAAAAUAGUUUGAAAUUUCCUUGCUGCUUUGCCUCUAUCCGAAUUUGGUUUGUCAGCGUGUGAACCGGCAUCCGAUCUUCUAAGAAACUGCUUGGUUUCCACUCUAUUCAAGUAUAAUUGGUUUUCAGAGACUGAAUUAAAGCAGGAAAGCAAAAGGUAGGCGGAGGAUGUACGUGAGCAAAUAACUCCACAUAUAACAGCAUCUUGGUCUUUGCUGUUCUUCAUCUUCAUCAAAACCACACUUUCACAUAGAGCUCUUUUUGUCGCGCUGGUUUUUUGAUGUGUUGUCCUAAGACACAACUGCAAAACACUUAACAUCUACUUUUCCAUUUUAACUUGUUUCAAGAGCCCUUGACACUGCCCUCUUACCUACUCUUCUUCUCACUUGGAAUUGGCUACUCCAUUAUAGCUCCUGGACUUUCUAAUUUAUUUUCUUUAAGACCAGUAUUUAAAAGCUUUUCUUCUGGUUAGUCUUCCUUUCCCAUGAGACUCCUUUAUGUCUCUAUAGCACUUAAGAAUUUAGUUUUUCCUCAAUGGCUCACUCUUCUUGCAUCGCUGCCCAAGGGAAGGUGUGUGACCAGAUAAGAAGAAGGUUGCAUGGGAGAGUCUGAAUCAUUCUGGGUUUACAGCUGGCUUUGCUGCUCACUGUCUCUGUGAGCUUGGUCAGAUUAGCUAACAGUUCAGAAUGAUGCUCUUCUCAUCAUAGAAUGAGACCAAAGGCACUCAUCUUUCUGGGGUGUUGUUUGUUUUUACAUUUGUUCAUUUUUUGGGUUGUGGAUUCUUUCAUUCAUUUGUUCAGAAUAUGUAUUGAGCCCUUGCUCUUUGGCAAGCACUGUGCCAGUGCCGAGGAUGGCAAGAUAGACAUGGUCUCUGUUCUUAGGAUGCCUAUAAUCUCUUGGGAAAAGUGGGCACUAAAUAAGUAGUAGCAUGAACACUGUUUAAAAGCAAAAAAAAAAAAAGAGUGAGUACAGAAUGCCAGAGGAGCAUUACAGGGUAGAAACAGAGAGAAGCUAUCUUAGUUUAUUUGGGCUGCUACAACAAAAUACCAUUGGGAAUUAAGUUUAAACAUAUGCAUUUUAAGAGGACACCAAUACUCAGGCUAUAGCAGAAGCCAUCCAAGUAUUUUUAAAUUUGGGGAGGGGGUGGGCCACAAGGGAAAGACUAAGAGAAGUCAUGAGCAACUUUGCUGAGCAAAUAAAUAUUAACUUAAUGGAUGUUUCCAUAGAAGGUGAGCUAAAAUAGGCCAUGCUUUGGUGACCUUAGCAGAUUUUGCACAUCUUUCACCAGAGUCCCAGUUUUCCAAUGUGCCUCAAUCUUUGAACCCUCAGCUUGCUCUGCCAGACAUUAGUGCACAUAAUCUGCCUGCAUCUGGCCCCGUGUUUUGCUAAUGCCUACUUCCUUUCCCUCGAAUCUGGUCACUCCUCAUUCUCUGACCCCCUUCCUGUUAUCCCUACCCUGCAGAAUGCUCUUGAUGUUUUUCUCCACCGGGUUGACCAUCUCUUUCAAAGAUCAAAGAGCUAAAUCUCUUUAGUGUGUGCUUCUUUUAUGUGUUCUUCAUCUUUUCAAUUUAAAUUUAUAAAUACAGGAAACUUUCAUCUAGUAGGACUAUGAACACCAGGAAGUUGAAAUAGCUGUUCUCUCCCAGGACUAGCUCUGUAGUCUUCAUUGUACCUGCGUAUUUCUUAAAUCUCUUACUUUUUGGCCCUCUGACUGAGGCAGAGACUGCAGCUUAUUCACUGUGGUAUCACUGGCACACCCCAGAACAUGAUGCUUGGUAGAUACAGGACCUCUUUUAUAAGAGCACUGAUACCAUUUUUUGAAGGUUCCACUCUCAUGACCUCAUCACCUCCCAAAGACUCCACUCCUAAUACCGUCAUCUUGAGGGGCUGUAAUUUCAACAUGCACAUGUUGGGGGAAUAUAAACAUUGAGACCAUGCCAACGAGAUGGUUUUAAGUAAAGGACUAUAUUAGCAAACAUUCAGAGAUGAGAUUAGAUUAUGUCUAAACAACAACCCCAAAUUCUAGAAAUUAGCCAUGUAAAUACCUAAUAGUUACAGCAAGAUAUCAUUCAUGCUGUAAAGAUGUACCAGAAGGAUGAAAUGACCUAGAAGGUCCAGGAAGGCUCUGUGACCAUCAUACCAUUGUCUUUGUCCCUUCAGGCCACUAUAACAAAAUACCAGAUGGAGCAGCUUAUGAGCAACAGAAAUUGAUUUCUCAUAGUUGUGGAGGCUGGACAUCCCGGAUCAGGGUGCCAGCAUGUCUGAGUGAGUGCUUUCUUCUAAGUUGUAGACCCCUCAUUGUGUCCUCACAGGGCGGAAGGGACUACGGACUUCCGUGGGACCUCCUUUGUAAGAGCACUGAUACCGUUUUUUGAAGGUUCCACUCUCAUGACCUAAUCGCCUCCCAAAGACUCCACCCCUGAUGGCAUCAUCGUAAGUGCUGUAGAGACAUAAAUGAGUCUUUAGGAGCCUGCUAUGCUCCAAGCCCUGUGCAAAUAGGCACAAUGCAUGUCUCUUUCUUUUCUCGACAACUAAGUGUUCCCACUCCCUGAACUUUACUUACCCUUUUAACUUAUACCCAGAGGUUCCUGUUUUUAAUUCCUUCGUGUCCUGACUCAGGGUGGAAUGUUCGCUCCCAAUAUCUUGCCCUCCCUCCUCUCUGAUUCCUCUUCAUCCUUCAAGACUUAGCUUGUUUUACCCAAGUCUGCAUGGUGGCUCCCUUCCCAAAGAAAUCAUUGGAAAAACAGGGUGAUACCAGUGAAAUGUGUAGGUGAAGAAAAAAAAAAGUUAUCAUUCUUUUUCAACUUAACAACAUUUUUUAGUUCCAUAUCCUCCAGUAAUUUUCCUCAGGAGUAUAAACUCGUAUAAUGCUACAUGCACUCAUUUGUAUUCUGCUUUUUCUCUUAUACAUAUUUUCCAUAUUUCCAUGUAAUUUUUCUAAUUAUCAUUUUCAUCAUAGAAACAGUAUUAUCCCAUUACAGAAAGUAAAUCACACAUAAUCACCAUCUUGACGACACUUCCUCUUUUCUCUAAAUACCUGAGUUAGAAUUUAAGGUUGAAGGUAGGCAUGUUUAAAUAGCCAAAGAAGCUUCGAUUGCCACUCGCUUUCUUUUUAUUUUGGUAAGGUAAGGUGUUGGAGAAAACUUCCUCGACAUUGACUUAACUGCUCUGAGCUUCCACUGUCCCACCUCUAGAAUGAAGGUGUUGAACUUGAUUGUCGCUAAGACGUUCAGUCCUUUUACAUGAUGACUAGUUCAUGACUCUAUGACUCUUAAUUUAAUAAACCUUUAUAGCAUUGGUAGUUCUUUAGUUUUUUGUGUGUCCUGCUCUCCAUUAAGGAAGUGGUGGGGAAUUCCUGGUGGUCUAGUGUCAGGACUCAGUGCUUUCACAGCUUUGGCCUGGGUUCAGUCCCUAGUCUGGGAAAUGAGGUCCCACAUAAAGCAGCUGCACAUGGUAGCCCCCCCCCCCAAAAAAAAUAUAUAUGGUGAAAGCUUUGGAUCCUCUUCAUUAGAAAUGCCCCUAUGCACAAACACAUAAAAUAUUUCCUGCAAGACCAUCUAGGGACCAAGAAUCUUUUGCUCUAAGCACAGGAAAGAAAAAUGGAUGGAAAUGACAUAGAAUUCAGAAAAUAUUUCCUACCUAAGAAAUAUUCUACCUUUUUCUCUAAUGCUAUGUAACCAAGAAGGCAGAAUAUGGGAAGAGAUUCCGAAAAGCAUGUCUUGAACACAUUGUAAAGUUACAUAAAAACAUUGACCAAAAUGAGUUUAAAACAUGAGCGUGAUCUGAUUAUGUAACGGAGGAGACUCACUAUUACUGUAGUUGAAAAUUGUGGCUCUGGAAGCUAUUCCUGGAAAUACUGAAUUCAGGCUUCUAGAAUGAGAGGAACAGUGGGCACGAUCACAAUUGUAUGGCUACUUUUAAAAAAUGUGUGCUGAGGAACUGAGUAUAUUCCCUAGUUUCAUUGUAUGUUAUUAGAAAACCAGUCUGUGAAAUUGGUUGUUCAAGGUUUUGUUCUCCGUGUGGAACGAGAGCAGAAGUGGAUGCUAACAUUGAGUCUUCAUAUACAUGAGGCCCCUCUUUCUUCCAGCAUCAUCAUCUUCCGUGGGAAGCCAGUGAAUCCUUACUUUAAAAUGCGAUUAUAGUGGAGAAAUGAUGUGAUUUUUUGAAUGUACACCAUUGACCAUAAGUUGCAUUUUAUGGCUCUAGUUAAAUGGCUCAGGAUGUUUCCGCUGAGUUCAAGGAGGUAGGGGAAGAAAUCAGUUUCAGAAAAUACAAAGCGGCUCAUUUAUUUAUGAUGUAGACUCUGUUCUCUUUGCGAUUCAGCUGCUUUCAAAGGCGUGUCGUGAGGAUGCUUCAGCUUUGGAAAUGGCCGUGUUGCGAUGGGAAAGAGGACAGUCAUCAGACAGCUCUUUUCAUGAGAGAUUUUGGAGUCAAAACUGCUUGGCCAUUCUUCUAAGGGAGGGUUUUUGCCAUGUAAUUCGAACGUGUAUUAAAUUGUAGCUUAAAAACAAUAAUCCUAGGAGUUCCCAUCGUGGCUCAGCAGAAAUGAAUCUGACUAGUAACCGUGAGGACGUGGGUUCGAUCCUUGGCCUUGCCCAGUAGGUUAAGGAUCCAGCGUUGCCCUGAGCUAUGGUGUGGGUAGCUAACAUGGCUUGGAACCCACAUUGCUGUGGCUGUGGCUGGCAGCUGUCGCUCCAGUUUGACACCUAACGUGGGAACUUCAUAUGCCAUAGAUGUGGCCCUGAAAAGAAAAAAAAAAAAAAAAAAAAAAAAAAAAAACCAAAAGCUCUCCUGAGAGCCUGUGGACACCGCACAUGGUAUUGAGUCAAAGCAGGUUUGUACAACAGAGGCAUUGAGAGGGCCCUAUUCUUGUCGGUUUAAUUGAUUGCAGUGAAGAGAGCAGCAUUUUGGUGUAGUAUCUUUGUACAGUAACUAUGUUUGAAUAUGUCCCGUACUCUUAUUUAACACAGAAGCUCUUUCAGAAUGUUGUUUUAAUGAUGGGAGCGGAUAUGGAAGGAUACGUACAUCGUCGUCUUUUCCUUUAACAGGAUGUCAGUUCUCAGCCCGAGGGGAAGUGAGGAGCGAGGGCUGUCAAAUCAUUGGCCGCCUGUCCCCUUGGAAUCGUAGAAUCCAGUGUCUCCCACGACCAGUCUCUGCCCCUCUCACGUGUCUACCUGAUGUCACCUGUACCUGCACUUGUGCUUUCCAGCUCCAGGGGCUUCCCUUCUGCCCAGGGCAUCUGACCUUGCACCAUCCUGGGCCUCAUUUAGGAAAGACAUUGGUAGCAAAGACGGGGCCUGGGUCUCCUGGCUUUCAUUCCUCUCUCAUCUCCACUCUACACAAAAGUGUCUUUC